UACGUAGGGGGCUAGCGUUGUCCGGAUUUAUUGGGCGUAAAGAGCGUGUAGGCGGCCAGGUAGGUCCGGUGUGAAAACUCGAGGCUUAACCUCGAGAUGUCAUCGGAAACCAUCUGGCUAGAGUCCGGAAGAGGAAAGUGGAAUUCCAGGUGUAGCGGUGAAAUGCGUAGAUAUCUGGAGGAACACCGGUGGCGAAGGCGGCACUCUGGGCCGAUACUGACGCUGAGGAGCGAAAGCGUGGGGAGCGAACAGG
rnacentral:rRNA from 1 species